rnacentral:rRNA from 1 species
AGUUUGAUCCUGGCUCAGGAUGAACGCUGACAGAAUGCUUAACACAUGCAAGUCUACUUGAUUUAUGGUUUCGGCCGUAAUGAUGGUGGCGGACGGGUGAGUAACGCGUAAAGAAUCUGCCCUUUAGUCUGGGAUAACAGUUGGAAACGACUGCUAAUACCGGAUAUUAUGGAAUCAUCGCAUGAUGAGAUCAUGAAAGCUAUAUGCGCUAGAGGAGGACUUUGCGUCCCAUUAGCUAGUUGGUGAGGUAACGGCUCACCAAGGCGACGAUGGGUAGCCGGCCUGAGAGGGUGAUCGGCCACAAGGGAACUGAGACACGGUCCUUACUCCUACGGGAGGCAGCAGUGGGGAAUAUUGGACAAUGGACCAAAAGUCUGAUCCAGCAAUUCUGUGUGCACGAUGAAGGUCUUCGGAUUGUAAAGUGCUUUCAGUAGGGAAGAAUAAAUGACGGUACCUACAGAAGAAGCGACGGCUAAAUAUGUGCCAGCAGCCGCGGUAAUACAUAUGUCGCAAGCGUUAUCCGGAUUUAUUGGGCGUAAAGCGCGUCUAGGCGGUUUACUAAGUCUGAUGUGAAAAUGCGGGGCUCAACUCCGUAUUGCGUUGGAAACUGGUAGACUAGAGUACUGGAGAGGUGGGCGGAACUACAAGUGUAGAGGUGGAAUUCGUAGAUAUUUGUAGGAAUGCCGAUGGAGAAGUCAGCUCACUGGACAGAUACUGACGCUAAAGCGCGAAAGCGUGGGGAGCAAACAGGAUUAGAUACCCUGGUAGUCC